rnacentral:rRNA from 1 species
UACGAAGGGGGCUAGCGUUGCUCGGAAUCACUGGGCGUAAAGCGCACGUAGGCGGCUUUUUAAGUCAGGGGUGAAAUCCUGGAGCUCAACUCCAGAACUGCCUUUGAUACUGAGAAGCUUGAGUCCGGGAGAGGUGAGUGGAACUGCGAGUGUAGAGGUGAAAUUCGUAGAUAUUCGCAAGAACACCAGUGGCGAAGGCGGCUCACUGGCCCGGUACUGACGCUGAUGUGCGAAAGCGUGGGGAGCAAACAGG